CGCUGGCGGCGUGCCUAAUACAUGCAAGUCGAGCGAACAGAUAAGGAGCUUGCUCCUUUGACGUUAGCGGCGGACGGGUGAGUAACACGUGGGUAACCUGCCUAUAAGACUGGGAUAACUUCGGGAAACCGGAGCUAAUACCGGAUAACAUUUGGAACCGUAUGGUUCUAAAGUGAAAGAUGGUUUUGCUAUCACUUAUAGAUGGACCCGCGCCGUAUUAGCUAGUUGGUAAGGUAACGGCUUACCAAGGCGACGAUACGUAGCCGACCUGAGAGGGUGAUCGGCCACACUGGAACUGAGACACGGUCCAGACUCCUACGGGAGGCAGCAGUAGGGAAUCUUCCGCAAUGGGCGAAAGCCUGACGGAGCAACGCCGCGUGAGUGAUGAAGGGUUUCGGCUCGUAAAACUCUGUUAUUAGAGAAGAACAAAUGUGUAAGUAACUGUGCACAUCUUGACGGUACCUAAUCAGAAAGCCACGGCUAACUACGUGCCAGCAGCCGCGGUAAUACGUAGGUGGCAAGCGUUAUCCGGAAUUAUUGGGCGUAAAGCGCGCGUAGGCGGUUUCUUAAGUCUGAUGUGAAAGCCCACGGCUCAACCGUGGAGGGUCAUUGGAAACUGGGAAACUUGAGUGCAGAAGAGGAAAGUGGAAUUCCAUGUGUAGCGGUGAAAUGCGCAGAGAUAUGGAGGAACACCAGUGGCGAAGGCGACUUUCUGGUCUGUAACUGACGCUGAUGUGCGAAAGCGUG
rnacentral:rRNA from 1 species